rnacentral:rRNA from 1 species
GAUUGCAUAUCAAUAAGCGGAGGAAAAGAAACCAACAGGGAUUGCCUUAGUAGCGGCGAGUGAAGCGGCAAAAGCUCAAAUUUGAAAUCUGGCUCUUUCAGAGUCCGAGUUGUAAUUUGAAGAAGGUAUCUUUGGGUCUGGCUCUUGUCUAUGUUUCUUGGAACAGAACGUCACAGAGGGUGAGAAUCCCGUGCGAUGAGAUGAUCCAGGCCUAUGUAAAGUUCCUUCGAAGAGUCGAGUUGUUUGGGAAUGCAGCUCUAAGUGGGUGGUAAAUUCCAUCUAAAGCUAAAUAUUGGCGAGAGACCGAUAGCGAACAAGUACAGUGAUGGAAAGAUGAAAAGAACUUUGAAAAGAGAGUGAAAAAGUACGUGAAAUUGUUGAAAGGGAAGGGCUUGAGAUCAGACUUGGUAUUUUGUAUGUUACUUCUUCGGGGGUGGCCUCUACAGUUUAUCGGGCCAGCAUCAGUUUGGGCGGUAGGAGAAUUGCGUUGGAAUGUGGCACGGCUUUGGUUGUGUGUUAUAGCCUUCGUCGAUACUGCCAGCCUAGACUGAGGACUGCGGUUUAUACCUAGGAUGUUGGCAUAAUGAUCUUAAGUCGCCCGUCUUGAAACACGGACCAAU